AAGUCGUAACAAGGUUUCCGUAGGUGAACCUGCGGAAGGAUCAUUAUGAAUUUUGGUUGUCUUGACUGAGUCUUGACUCCUAUUUUCUGUGAACUGGAUCUCGACCCUUUAUUUUUUCUUUCUUUCUUUCUUUUCUUUUAGGAAGGAAGGAAGGAAGGAAGGAAAAAAUAAAGGUGAAGGAUUGCUUUAUUUGUUUUCUGUUGUAAUUGUUCUUUACAAGUUUAUUCUUUGUAAUGAAAGACAACUUUCAGCAAUGGAUCUCUUGGCUCUU
rnacentral:misc_RNA from 1 species